rnacentral:lncRNA from 1 species
AGGUCCUAGUGUAAUAAGAUACCAGACGGUGAGCGGUGAAAGAGGAAGCUCUCACACUGGCAACGAACAUAAUUUUUUUUGUCUCCCUCGAAUUUCGUUACAACUAACGUAUGUUGUAGAACAUUGAAAGCUAAAAGACAUGUAUUUUUUCGUCAAUGGAAAAACAGUUUAAAGAAAUGAAACAACGCCCCAAAAUCAGGCAUGUCACGGGACGAUAUGGCAGUUUCACCUAUAAGUAAUGAACUAAUUCCAACGAAUCAAAAACGAAAAUGCUUCUCAUGUUAAUCAGUGUAGAGACUACUAGAGAUAUUUAAAAAAAUAUAUAAAAUUGAGGGGUGAACUACUUUUCAACUUUUAUUUUUUGUGUCCUUUAUUCAAAAGUUGUGAAUUGAUUUAAAUAAGACCAGUGCCAUUUUAAAAGGAAAACGAUAUGAAUGUUUACAUGGCUUUCGCAAAAACGCAAGUUUAAGGGGCUCGUAGUUGGCCUUUCAUCACGUCACAAAAUUAUUAGAUGUGUCUGAGGUGAACCAUCCUCUCUAUUUAUCUUUUCACUCACGGCAUCAAACAUUUACCAAACCAUUCUGAUAUAAAUGGUGUCAUUAUAUUGAAAACACGACUGCCGUGUACGUGUACUCUGACGUAUUUAAAAAAAAAAACUCCAUAAAGGGAGUAAACUCCCCCUGAAGAGAUAGGCUUGGCUCGGAUGAAUCGAUUAAAGGACCAAACUGAGUCUGCGAGAAGAAAAGAUAUAUCGUAAAGAGAAUUAUAAUAACUGAAGUAAGAUACGAAAAUUGAUGCAAAUUGGAAGAGCAGGCGUGGUGUUAUAACGUAGCGUGAGUAGUUCUGUAUUGAAAGAAUCUGAAAAGUAAAGAAACAGCGUUAGUUCGUUGUUGAUUGAGGAGGUUUGUCCACAAAUGUAGGCACAAGUUCGUUAAUUUUCAAAGGUAAGUAGACAGUAUCCAGACUUCAAGGAAAUAGUACACAUAAUGGGUUUCAUGAAUGUAAGCGAACGAGUCGUCUAGAGAAAAGAGCGCGAAUUAGGCGCAGCGGACAAGAUUGCAUGAACUAGGUGCCUUGGAUAGAGUGCACGGACUAGGUGCAUUAAAUACUCUCAAGAAGGUUGCACGAACUAGGUGCCUUGGAUGAGUGCACAAACUCGGUGCGGUAAAGCAAAAGAGGGUACUCAUUGUCAACCUAUGAUUUAACCAAUAUGGGGUCUUGUUACACUCAAGGCUGAUGUCAACUCGGCGGUGGUCAGACUAGAAGUGAGAGCCGCUCCGCGGUGGCGCUUUUAUAAGAGAGGUUGGUCGUAUCAUGGAGCGUUCAGCAGCCGUUCGGUGACGUCUCAAUUCUGGGAAUAGCGACUGGCAGAUUAUCUGCUCCUUUGCCGAAUUAUACUGUUAGGUGCUCAUUCACUCAUUGUAGGCGAAAGUGAAUUUGAUAGCGUAAAUUUAUACAUACAGAAAGUUAUUAGUUUAAUGACAAUAAAGGACAACAUGUAACUGUAAGGUUAUUCAAACACAUAUAAAUAAAUUUUUAAUCAGGGUGCUGCUAAAUAAAAAUGUUCGAAA